rnacentral:RNase_P_RNA from 1 species
UGGUUGCGCGCGAUGGUCGCGGAGGGGGCAACCUCUCCGAGGAAAGUCCGAGCUCCAACGGGUAGACUGCCAGGUAACGCCUGGGCGCCGAGAGGCGACGGAUCGGGCAACAGAGAGCAAACCGCCGAUGGCCCGCGCGAGCGGGAUCAGGCAAGGGUGAAACGGUGGGGUAAGAGCCCACCGCGCCGGUGGCAACAGCGGCGGCACGGUAACCCCCAGUCGGAGCAAGGCCAAAUAAGCGGCGAGGUGUGACCCACACCGCCCCCACCCGAGCCUUCGGGCAACGGUGAGCCGCGGGUAGG